GAGUUUGAUCUUGGCUCAGAACGAACGCUGGCGGCGGGCCUAACACAUGCAAGUCGCACGAGAACGGUGGGCUUCGGCCUACCUAGUAAAGUGGCGCACGGGUGAGUAACGCGUGGGUAAUCUGCCCCCGGGUUGGGGAUAACGUUCCGAAAGGGGCGCUAAUACCGAAUAAGACCACGGCCACUGCGGUGGCAGGGGUCAAAGCGGGCCUCUACAUGUAAGCUCGCGCCUGGGGAGGAGCUCGCGUCCCAUUAGCUUGUUGGUGAGGUAACGGCUCACCAAGGCUACGAUGGGUAGCUGGUCUGAGAGGAUGAUCAGCCACACUGGGACUGAAACACGGCCCAGACUCCUACGGGAGGCAGCAGUGAGGAAUCUUGCGCAAUGGGGGAAACCCUGACGCAGCCACGCCGCGU
rnacentral:rRNA from 1 species